UGUUUCGGCUAGGGGGUCAUCCCGACUUACCAACCCGAUGCAAACUGCGAAUACCGAAGAAUGUUAUCACGGGAGACACACGGCGGGUGCUAACGUCCGUCGUGAAGAGGGAAACAACCCAGACCGCCAGCUAAGGUCCCAAAGUCAUGGUUAAGUGGGAAACGAUGUGGGAAGGCACAGACAGCCAGGAUGUUGGCUUAGAAGCAGCCAUCAUUUAAAGAAAGCGUAAUAGCUCACUGGUCGAGUCGGCCUGCGCGGAAGAUGUAACGGGGCUAAACCAUGCACCGAAGCUGCGGCAGCGACACUAUGUGUUGUUGGGUAGGGGAGCGUUCUGUAAGCCGUUGAAGGUGUAUCGUGAGGUAUGCUGGAGGUAUCAGAAGUGCGAAUGCUGACAUAAGUAACGAUAAUGCGGGUGAAAAACCCGCACGCCGGAAGACCAAGGGUUCCUGUCCAACGUUAAUCGGGGCAGGGUGAGUCGACCCCUAAGGCGAGGCCGAAAGGCGUAGUCGAUGGGAAACAGGUUAAUAUUCCUGUACUUGGUGUUACUGCGAAGGGGGGACGGAGAAGGCUAUGUUAGCCGGGCGACGGUUGUCCCGGUUUAAGCAUGUAGGCGGAGGUUCCAGGUAAAUCCGGUACCUUUUUAACGCUGAGGUGUGAUGACGAGGCACUACGGUGCUGAAGUAACAAAUGCCCUGCUUCCAGGAAAAGCCUCUAAGCAUCAGGUAACACGAAAUCGUACCCAAAACCGACACAGGUGGUCAGGUAGAGAAUACCAAGGCGCUUGAGAGAACUCGGGUGAAGGAACUAGGCAAAAUGGUGCCGUAACUUCGGGAGAAGGCACGCUGAUAUGUAGGUGAAGUGAUUUACUCAUGGAGCUGAAAUCAGUCGAAGAUACCAGCUGGCUGCAACUGUUUAUUAAAAACACAGCACUGUGCAAACACGAAAGUGGACGUAUACGGUGUGACGCCUGCCCGGUGCCGGAAGGUUAAUUGAUGGGGUUAUCCGUAAGGAGAAGCUCUUGAUCGAAGCCCCGGUAAACGGCGGCCGUAACUAUAACGGUCCUAAGGUAGCGAAAUUCCUUGUCGGGUAAGUUCCGACCUGCACGAAUGGCGUAAUGAUGGCCAGGCUGUCUCCACCCGAGACUCAGUGAAAUUGAACUCGCUGUGAAGAUGCAGUGUACCCGCGGCAAGACGGAAAGACCCCGUGAACCUUUACUAUAGCUUGACACUGAACACUGGUCCUUGAUGUGUAGGAUAGGUGGGAGGCUUUGAAGUGUGGACGCCAGUCUGCAUGGAGCCAUCCUUGAAAUACCACCCUUUAAUGGCU
rnacentral:rRNA from 1 species